GUGCACAUAACAUUGACCUGCUACUUUGGUAUUAGUAAGCAGCGUUAUUUCUCGUGUGCUAAAUAAACUGCUGAAGGCUAAUUAGCAGCUUUGCUGUAUAUAGUGAUUGCUGCCAGUCUCCUUCAUACAUAG
rnacentral:snoRNA from 1 species